UAAAUAAAUUCUCAUAAUAAGUAAGUUAUUAUUAUGUAUUAAUUCAAAGAAGGAAAAACUUCAAAUAUCCCGUGGUUUCGCACUUUCUUAUUUUAAUACCCUGUGGAUUAAAAUGUAUCACAAGUUAGUAUCAUGUGGUUUCGAACUUUCUCAUUUUAGUACCUUGUGGUUUAAUAUUUCGUUAAAUUAUGUACAAAAAACUUCAGAUAUUCUACCUAGGUUUAUCGAAUAUUUAUUUUAGUAUCAUUUAGUUUUAACCUUGUCACUGAUUUAACUAAAAAAAUACUCCGAAAUAGAUAAUAAAAAGAAAAAAAUAAAACCACAGGGUACUAAUUUGAUAUAAAAAUGAAACCACAGAGUACUAACUUAAUACACUUUAAACCACAGAAUACUAACGUGAGAAAGUGCGAAACCAUAUAAUUUAUAUUUUAAAUUAUAAAGUAUUAAAAUAAGAAAGUACGAAACCACACGUGGGUAUUUGAAGUUUUCCCUUCAAAGAAACUAGCAAUUAUUAUUAUUUCAUUUUCUAAUUAAUAUCACUAAUUGCUAAUGUGGCAAGAAGAAAAGUCAAAUUUGUAGUAACAGAAAAAAAAAAAAAUGUCAGACAGUAUUUAUGAUCUGAACCCACCCACAUAACAGAAAAGAAACCCUUUCCAGACAAGCAUGAUUAAUUUGGUUCACUCAUUAAUUUAUUGCCUCUUUCCCCCAAGGAGAAUGUCAUAGAUUUUUCAAAAUAUGAUCCUCUACAUUAUUUACUAUAUCAACAAUAAUAUAAUAUUUUUAGCCUUUUUAUACUUGUUAAAUUCAUAUAUUAUUUUACGUAUCACUACAUUACAUUACGUAACACUCUAAUAGUCCCAUAUCGAAUAAAAAAAAAAUUAUAAUUAUAUAUGUAAGAGAUCGGAAACCCUAAUUAUAAUAAUCGGGCUUAUGUAUUUGAAUAUGAAUAUCGGCUGGUUUAUGUAUUUGAACAUGAACUUUGAAUUAAAGAAUUAUUGUAAUUGAACACGGUCUAUGGGUGACGUGGCAGACCCGGUCCAUGCAGCUUCUUAUAGUGGAGCGCGACGCACGCGUGGGCCCCGACAACGUAACGUAUCGCCACUUGGGAAACGAAACGCUUCCACGCUACGCAAACCCCACGCGACCCAGUACUGUAAAAUCUCCUAUUAGUCCCUCUACUCUUCUGAUUUUAUGAUUCCAUCCUUACCAAUUCAAAUUCACAUCAGAAAAAAAAAUUUACUAAUCAUUUUAUAAGAAGAAUUUGUUUUUUUUUUUUUAAGGCUAUAAGGGAGGGUGACAAUAUAUGCAAAAUUAUUAUUAUAAGAAUUAAAAGUUGGUUUAAUUCUAUUUUACAAUAAAUUUCAUCAGAAUAAUUAAAUACUACUUGAAUAAUACUAUUAGAAAAAAAAUGUUAUUUUAAAAUAAUUUUGAUAAUUUUUUCAAAAGCAGAAUUUAAAACACCAAAUUAUACAGUUCAGCAAAGAUCACUUUAGUUCUAUUAUAAUAUUGUUUAAUAACAUAUUUGUCCAAAUGCGUGCUACUAUUAUAAAAAAAUUACUAUAAUAAAAAUACUCUCAACAUAUUUUUUUAAAGCAGAUUUAAAAUCACUUAGCUGAAUAUUUUGUUGUUUAAGCUAAUAAAAAUAUCAUUUUUGCUUUCCACUAUAUUUAGUAAAAUCUUUCAAAUUUUCUCUUUGCAAAUUUACAUUCUAUCAGUAAAUAUUUAUAUUUUUAAAAAUAUAUUAGUUAUACAUUUUAUUUAUAAUGUGUACAUCUUAUCUCCACUAUUCAAGUACUUAAAAUUCUUAUUAAUGAAUUAUAAAAUUUUUUAGUAUUAAAAAAAAACUAAUAAAAAUUAAUUUAAAAAUAAUAAUUUUUGUAUAAAAUAAAAUAUAAAAUUUAUACCCUAGUACAUGCAUAUGUGCAAAUAACUCUGCUCAAAAUAAAAAAAUAGAANCAUCCCAUAGACUUCAAAAAACAUAUAUUAAAUUGUUUUAUAAUUGUUUACUCGGCUGUUUUCUCUUUUUACUUUAGUGUCUCAUGAUUUAACUAUGUCAAAUUUGGUGUACCAUGAUUUUACUAUUUCAUACUUUGGUAUAUAAUAAUUUAACUACGUGUAAUUUGGUAUCCCAUGAUUUUCAUUUUUUCAUGCUUUGAUAUCUUUACCAUAAAUUUCUAAAAAGAAAAAAUAAUAAUAAUAAACAUAGUCUUCUUCCAUAUACAUUAGGUUUAUCGAAUAUUUAUUUUAAUAUCCUUUAAUUUUAACUUUAUCACUGAUUUAAUAAAAAAAUUAGUAAAAUGAAUAAUAAAAAGAGAAAAGUGAAACCACAGAGUACUGACUUAAUAUACUUUAAACUAUAGGGUGCUAAAGUGAGAAGUUGCAAAACCACAGGGGCUAACUUGAUACACUUUAAACCACAUGGU
rnacentral:lncRNA from 1 species